AGCUGUGAGAAGUGUACUAACACAGAUGUGAGGGUGAGGAAGGUGAGGAUGGGCGGGAGGAGAUAUUGGGCAGCAUUGGUUGGCUCAGUAGAUGUGUGUCACCGGCCGAACCCACAGCACUUAGGGUAGUAACCCAAUUUCUCCUCUCUCUGUAACGGAUUACUAUAGCUAGGCAGGGCAUGCAGGGCACAGAGUACUGCAGUGCUAUCGCCCAAACCAGAACAGACAUAACAACCACUGGGCUAAUUCGCUGGUUCACGUUCCCCAACCUUCAUCCCGCUGUGUGUAGGAAAGAAUUUCACCCCCGCUCUCUCCUAUGUGCUCACCCUCUCGGGUGGCUGUGACAUUUCCUAAACAGGACGUCACACCUUUAGGACCAGGCUCAUCCACCAACUGUCACCUCCAGUUCAACCCCCCCUCAUUGCUAUUCCAAACCGUUCCACUGCAAAAACACUGCACCAAUUUUCCCAUUUAUUCUGUUCUCUGCAAUCAAGUCUCCAAACUCAACCAUAAGCUAGUCUUCCCUAAUCCAUUUUUCGUUUUACACCCAUUGCCUCAGCACCCAGCCUGCUGGCUAGCUAAGCGUGGCUGGAGGCAGUGUUGACUUGUGGAAUGUGUUGGUCGGGGGCAAAGUUUCAUUAGAGACUUGCUGAACAAUUCUCGCCACCAUGCAAAUGGUUAUUGAUCUGUUCCACCCACUCUGCAACAGAACAGCAGGUUUCUCUGUAGACAUAGACAGGUGAGGUUUGAUCAGAGGAAAAAGGAAGUCAGAAAAGAGGACCAUAAAAACAGUUUAUGUGUGGGAAGAGAGAGAGAACAAGGUACAGAAAGUGAGAGGGGGAGGUCGUUGGGGGUAUAGCCAGGACCAAUCCACAAGUGCUGAGUGGGCAUUAGCGCCUUCAUGUGACCUAUGGCCUGCCUCUGCGCCUAAAGCCCAAAUCCUGCUCACAAUAGCUUCCUGUUCCACUUGGAUCACCCUCGUUUUCAAACAUCAGCAAGCGCUCAAACUAGCCACUGGGGACGUUGCUGACACAAGAGAGACGAGGGACAGGCAAGAGCUACAUAUUGGUAAAAGUAGAGGUAGGAAAGAAGAGAGGAUACAGAAACUGGGGGUGAAAUAGGAGAACGAGGUGGUGGUGAGGGAGGCAGACUGAAAGAGAAGUGGGAGGAGAGAAGUGAAAGUGUUUAGUGUGUCAGCGGGGCCAAUCAGCUUAUAGGUGCACCCCUGCUCGCAAGACACACGGUCCAAAGCAGAUGAUCAUCAUACAAGACAAGGUGCACACAGAGGCACCUUACACCAUGGACUUUCUAUCAAGGAGAAAACUCUUCCCUCCUUUGCUGCCGUUUUUGUCCAAACCCCUUAAUCUACCUCAACAUUUUUCAUGAAAAAGAGAAAAAGCCCACCUUCUAAAUGCUGUAAAAAAGAAAAGGGGAGCUGUAUUCCUCCCCCUGGUUUCUCCCAGAACUUUGUCUGGAGGACACCGGGGGUCACCGGGACAGUCGACUAUGGUAUGGACUGCAAACCUUCGGUUAUGUUCAGGGGCGGGGGGACGGGCUGUUCAGCCUUACAUGGCAACCAAAGGAAAGCCUUGAGUGUUGAACUGAAUUUACUCUCAAAGUCACCUUACAGUGCAGACUACCAUACUUGGGAGAGAGAACGGUGAGGAAAAAUGUUCUGCUUAUAACUUCCUGACCUUGGCGAAAGUGCUCCAAUAUGGCUGAAGGGGAAAAGCAAGCAAGGUGAACUGGACCAAAACUCUGGCAUUUUUUUUUUCUUCUUUUUUUUUUUUUAACAUGCAACUGAAAGAGCAGGAAAUAGUUGCUGAGGAGGCAGAAUGAAGAGGGACUGAUGCUGGCUCUAUCAUUCUGCUGUAUCAUAUGGCUUCCGUGUUAACAAUCUUGUGUGUUUAACUAUGACUGCCCUCCCUUUAUGCCGAUGCCCUUAUUCGCACCCCCACCCUACAUCAACCCGGCUGCCCCCGUGCUCCCCUCCCUUCCCCGAUUCCUGCUCUCAUUGUUCACGUUUGCUAUGCUUGCCAAAUGCUUUGCUGGGCUGCAUGGCAGUCAGAUUAGACCAUCAAAAAGUGACAAUGCAGGAUCAGAGUCAACUCCUGCCUGUCAGCUGAUUCCAAUUGUUGACUGCUUCAAACAAAUAAAGGCAACAGAAUAUGGACAGGGGCACAGAGAGAAAUGAAGCGAGGGGGGAGGUGGGGAGUAGUUUGCAUUGCGAGCUAUUCAUAUCUAACACUUUCACCUAUUCUGACCCCCUCUCUGGCCCGUGCUUGGAUCGUACAUAAUCCCUGUACCAUGUUUUAGCACAGGUUUACUUCUCUUUAAACCCCUUUAAUGUAGAUAUAUACUGCUGUACUAAAAAGGUAAUAUUUUCCACUGCAUUUUAACUUUUAUCAUUGUUAUUAAAUUAUAUAUCUGAGGUCUGAUCAACAAAUUAGAUAAUUAAAGGCUAAACAAUAAAUAUAAAUGUAUAUAUGUAAACUGCUAACAGUAAACCUUGGAUGAAACUGUAAAACUAAAAUACAUACAGUACCUGCAUAUGAAUUGCUUCCUCAUAAAAUUUGAUUUAUUUUCCUUAACUACAAUGUUGUUAGAUGCGGCAGGCUAGGAUGUAUGUGUGCCUACAAAAUUUCUCCCGCAGUGAAAAUGAAAUGAAAAAGUGUAUGUAUUCCACUGUAGUACGACAGCUCUGUAUGAAAAACAAGACACUUCAUUCUGAACUGAUUAAUAUGUGUGUAGGGCUGACUUACUCUAUUCCCCUUUAAUUGAAAGAAAUAUCUAAAUUGAGGUAACACACCUGACAUCCACACUAAAAAUCUGCAACUUUAGUUUACUGACAAUGGUUAUAAGAUACUUAACUCAUUAACAAAAAUAAUUGUAGCUUAUAAAUCCCUUUCUGACAUUCUUUAUUUUUUCCUCUGAUGAAGUUGGAUUUAAUGUAUGAAAAAUAAAACAAAAGUCCUACUCAAAUGUUAUUAACAGCAAGGGCCACCACAAUUUAAUUUGAGGAGAACAUCAGAAUGAAGCUGCAUUUUUGGGCUUCAGUUUUCAUUUCUUUCUACCAUUUAGACCCAUCUGCAUGAUAUUCUGUCUAGCUCUCUUUUCUGUCAAGACAUCAGAGGCGUGUAGGAGUGCAUGGCUUGCACUGCAAGUUUCUCCCAGGCCCUCAAAAGCAAUGACCUGCUGUCUGAGUGACAAACACAGCAGAUGCUGACAUUAUCAAAUGCUCAGUGCCUGUCGUCCCCCCUGCUUUUGCCCUGUUAUGGCCCUUAGACGAGGUGAGCAGCCUGGCCACCUGACUCUGAGUGACUGAGUGUGUGUGUGUGUAAGUGAGCAAGCAUGAAUGUGCAUGUGUAUGUUACAAAUAGACCUGCCUCUGGUGUGCCAUAUCAAGCCGGCCCUUUAUUGACCUCCAUCCUGUCUACAAGCAGUGCUGUACAUCACUCAGCUGUCGUUGGCCACUCUGAGAACCUCAUCCGUGCCUUGGCAGAAAAUGACAAGCUUCCCUUACAAACCAGUGUCAAAAGGAACAUUUAUUACGAAUAAUGAUAAUGAAAAAUGAAAAUAGCUGACAUAAAUGUCACUUAACUGUAUCUUAAUUCAAAGAUUGAGCUACAAAUACUUCAGCAGUGAGAUUAAAAUGGGGGGCAAAAAUACAAUAAUACUAUACAUGGCUAUAAUAUGGGAAAUGUUUGAUGUUGCUAUAAUGGUAGGAAUGGUUUACGGAGCUUAUGACUGCAUCUAACAUAAGCUUUAGGCACACAUACACAAAAACAUAAUCAAAGUUGUUUACGUGGGUGCUACUGUGAUCAUUUUCGUAUUAGCACAGGGAUAGUUUUUUAGUAGAAAAUGUUACAAUAUUGUACUACUGGAGAGCUCUGAAAUAGACAUGAAAUAAUCUGCCCUCAGUCACUGUUCAAACAGUACCCUCUACACUACAAAUCAGUCUCUAGGACUUAAAUGAUGGUUUAAAUUAAUGUUAUGACUUGACACCCCAGAGUGCUGCUGUAGGGGCAUGAGUGAAAGAGCUUGUGUAUGUGGUUAUGCCUCUGCAUUUGUCUGUUGGCCGUCUCGGUGACCGCAGCGGCAGCGUGCUUGCAGCAGAGCCCAUCUGUCAGAGCCUGUAAUUGCUUCAUGACUCCAGGACAUUUGACUCAAGUGCACUGCCACAGAUUAUUAUUAUCCUUUUCUCAGGGAACAAUUUUUCCUCACUCUCUGGGAGGGGGCAAGCAUAAAACUUAAAAAGAUAGCGAGGAGGAUAAAUAGACUAGUCUGGGAGGCAGCAAAGGAGAAAGUUAGGUAAGGUUGAUCAACUGUACCUAUGUGUUAAUGGUGUGGUGGUAUAUGGGGUGUAGUGUGCUAAAUGUAAUGUGUGUCACACAGAAUGCAGGAGAGCGAAAGAGCAUUGUCCAUUUCAACUAGUGGGUGAGCAUGGUAUGCAAACCCAAAUCCAUGUUUUAAUAAGAUGUUUAAAUGCAACAUGGCCUUUCUCUGCUCAGUGUUUCCCUGGCUUUUUUCAGAUAAAACUCACUUCAUAACAGUUCCCAGUCCAUCUCGGAAACAAUGAUUCCACAAUGCUUUGCUAAAGCUGGUAAAAUGGAACCAAAUCACCUCUUGAAUGGAUUUGGUCCCCUUCAACCAGCUGUAGCUAUGCUUUGAUGACUACAGGAGCUCAUUUUGCUGUGAUGCCUUCAACACUCACUGUAAUGGCAGUGGGCCACUUCUUGAUGAUGACUGGCUUAUGGCUUUUCUCUACCAACAACAUCUGUGUAACUGUCAUGUUCCAUGCUAAACCUGUCUUAUUUUUGACUAAUAAAGACAUCAAUCCCAGCUUCAAAA